GCUUGAAUGCAUGUGGUGAAAAUCAGUCAUAACGAGAACGUCGUCGGGUGCUGUGUACGUUUUAGAGCAGAAGCUAGCAAUCAGUGAAGCUAUUCGCGCGCUGUGAAAAAAAUCAAAUUUACCCUACACACGCACACACAUACACACGCACAACACAUACACGCGCGUACAUAACGCAUACAACAAGCAAACACAUAGCAAUCAAAAGCAACAACAUGAAAUUCCUGUGAAAUAUAACGCAUUAUAAAUAUCUCUAUAUCUACCUAUAUAUAUAUAUAUAUAUAUAGUAGAAAAUGUAAUAUAAUUUGUUGGCAAGUGCAAAGGAUGUGCGAAAUUCCGUGAAUAUACAUAUAUGUGUCGUCGUUAGAAAAUAUGGAAAAAAAAUGUUUACAAGUGUGCAACAAAAUCAAAAGGUUGGUGUUUCGGAGGUGUAGUGAUGCCAGCAAAUUAUGAAAAGCUAAAAAAAACAGCAAAAAAUUAAUGCAAAAAAUAUGCAUGUGGGCGAAAAAGUGCACGCGAGUGUAAAAAAAUAGCAAAAAUUUAGUUAGAACAAAAAUUUAAUUACAACAACUAUUUGACAACUAAACGCUAUGAGAAAUAUCGUUAGAAACUCGCAACAAAAAUAUAGACAAACAAAGUGAAAGCGCAGCGCAGAGAAGCAGCUCGAAGCAGCAGCUGCAAACUCAGCGGCAGCGCUAGCAAUUAUCGUUUUAACUUCAGCUGCAGCUACGUCAAUUGCAAAACAAUUUUUUCGGAUUAAAGGCAGCGCAAGAAAUCGCAAAGAAUAAAAAAAAAAACCAAAAAACAAAUGAAAUCGAAUUCACUUACAACUGUAUGUAUAUGUAUGUAUGUAUGUGUGAGUAAAAACAAGCAAAACUAAGAAUAAAAAAUCGAACAACAGUGAAAUAACGCAGUUAUAACGGGAGCGUAUUGAUGGAUUAAAAGGUGGCAAACAAGCCAGCAAAAAGUGUAAGAGGACGAAGCAGAAAAAAUUAAAGACGCGAGUGAUGCUGUGGGCCAACGGGGGAAAUAGCAACAGUAAAACAGCAAUAGCGGGCAAUCAAAAAAAUAAAAGCAACAACAACAAAUGCGCAGUUUAGCCAGCAAAUAGAAAUGCCAAAACAAAAAUAAAAACAAAACGAGUAGAAAGUAAAAAGCAAAAAGGAACGAGGCGAAUUUGUGGAAAAUAAAACGGGCAAAACUGAGCGGAAGAAGGCAGGCGUGAAAUAUAACGAGAAGAAAUACAGCAGUGGCACAACUCGCUGGAAAUAUUAGCAACAACAACAACAGCAACAAAUUAAUGGAAAAAAACCGAGAAAAAUAGGACAAAAAAACAAGCACGGCAGCAGCAACAACUACAAAAACAACGCGAACGUGCAACGCCAGCAGCGAGCGUGGCACAGUAAAUUGUAAUGCGAAUAAGAAUUAAAGAAGAAGCAACAAAACAAAAUAAAGAAGCAGCAGCAGCAAAAAUACGGGCACACAUGUACAUGAGUGUGUUUGCGUACAUGUAUUAGUUUUGGUCUUUCGAACAAUUUGAAAAUAUGCGACUAUCGAAGUGUAAGACACACACAUAAUAAAUAAUAAACGAAAUAGAGUGCACUAUUGUGCAAAUAUGGCACUGAAUACAGUUAAUCAAAAUUUUACGAAUACGAAAUCUAGUUAGUGCAAAAAGUUGAAGUGAAAAUGGUUGGAUGUCAUGCCAAGUGAUUGAAAAUAUUCAAAAAGCAAUGAAAUUUAUGCUAAUAUGUGCCAGAGUAUAAAUAUAUAAAUCUAUAUAGGCGUGGUGCUUCACAUAGAAUACGGCAAUGGCCACGAGAACUGCGUGUGACUGUAUUUUAAAUUAGCAACGAUUUAAGGUAUAUUUUAGUGAAAAAUAAAACAAAUAUUAAUUUUGUCAGCGUUAAGUGUGUUAUAAAUAAUAACUCAAGAGCGAUAGUGUUGUUUUAUGUUUCAAUAAUUAAUUUAGCUAUAAAUGGCCAUUAAAAAUUAAUAAUAAUCAAAACUA